AUUGAACGCUGGCGGCAGGCCUAACACAUGCAAGUCGAACGGUAACAGGAAGAACCUUGCUGCCUCGCUUACGCGUGGCGGACGGGUGAGUCAUGUCUGGGAAGCUGCCUGAUGGCGGGGGUUAACUACUGGAACCGGUAGCAAAUACCGCAAAAUGUUGCAAGACCAAAGAGGGGGACUUUAGGGCCUCUUUCCUUUGGCUGAUACCAGAUGGGAUUAGCUUGUUGGUGGGGUAACGGCUCACCAAGGCCACGAUCCGUAGCUGGUCUGAGAGGGUGACCGGCCACACUGGAACUGAGACACGGUCCAGACUCCUACGGGAGGCAGCAGUAGGGAAUAUUGCGCAAUGGGCGAAAGCCUGAUGCAGCCACGCCGCGUGUAUGAUGAAGGUCUUCGGAUUGUAAAGUUCUUUCAGCGGGGAAGAAGAAAGUUGAAAGAAUAUCUGUGCGCAUUGACGGUACCUACAGAGAAAGCAACGGCUAACUCCGUG
rnacentral:rRNA from 1 species